AGGGGUUUCAACCCCCUCUUUUCCAAUAGACGUGGUUCAAUUUCAUAUAAUUUCAUUAGAAAAGAGAAAAUUAGUAAUGCUAUAAAUAGCUGCUACCAGGUCAACCCCUCUUUCAAAAAUUCUUGGAUCUGGGACUAAGUAAUACAUGCAUAGGGAUGAAAACUUAAACUAAAAUGCAAGGUAUUGCGAACAAAUUGAUAAAACAAAUUCGCGGAUUUUUUCCUGCUCAAAAUACUAUUCUACAAUAAAUAUGGAAGGAAAGACUUAAUAGUGUACCCUAUAAUGGCUACAGUAACAUCAAUAUUGAGUGAAUGAAUCAUGAUACUAUAUUUUUCAGUGCUGCUGUGUUCUGCAGUAUUGCUGGCACUUGUGUCUUCAGAUGCUAGCUAUUAGCAUAUGGAUGUAACACUGCAAAAACUGCUAUUCUAUAAUUGAAAGCUAUGAAUCAUAGAAAUGGGACUUCAAAGAAGUCACGUGACUUACAAGGAGUGUAUGCUAACGAGGUUCAGUUUUCACCAAAUCUCUAUGGCUAUCUAUGCCAAAAAUGACCACAUAUGGGUGGCAAACUUCAGGAAUGUAUGCAAUGGAAGACAAUGGCCAGGCAGCCAAUCGCUACUUGCUGUUCCACACAAGAAAAAAAUUUAGCCAAGAAAACAUCAAUUUUGAUUGGAAACAACAGAAACAAUGCGCACAACAGUGAAGGGUGAAGAGCUACCUACAGGACUUCGUUACUAACGCAAGUCGCCAACUAUGGAUAUCGCAGAUAUUGUACGUACGUAAAUUAAUACAAU